rnacentral:rRNA from 1 species
UAGGGAAUCUUCCACAAUGGACGCAAGUCUGAUGGAGCAACGCCGCGUGAGUGAAGAAGGUUUUCGGACCGUAAAGCUCUGUUGUUGGUGAAGAAAGAUAGAGGUAGUAACUGGCCUUUAUUUGACGGUAAUCAACCAGAAAGUCACGGCUAACUACGUGCCAGCAGCCGCGGUAAUACGUAGGUGGCAAGCGUUGUCCGGAUUUAUUGGGCGUAAAGCGAGCGCAGGCGGAAGAAUAAGUCUGAUGUGAAAGCCCUCGGCUUAACCGAGGAAUUGCAUCGGAAACUGUUUUCUUGAGUGCAGAAGAGGAGAGUAGAACUCCAUGUGUAGCGGUGGAAUGCGUAGAUAUAUGGAAGAAUACCAGUGGCGAAGGCGGCUCUCUGGUCUGCAACUGACGCUGAGGCUCGAAAGCAUGGGUAGCGAACAGGAUUAGAUACCCUGGUAGUCCAUGCCGUAAACGAUGAGUGCUAAGUGUUGGGAGGCUUCCGCCUCUCAGUGCUGCAGCUAACGCAUUAAGCACUCCGCCUGGGGAGUACGACCGCAAGGUUGAAAC